ACCGACGCACUGGAUCCGGUGGGCAGAACCUGGGUCAAAUCAGGAGUGGCCACCCCGGCUAGAGCCUCGGCACCACCCGACUCGGCCACUAGUCUUCUCCCUCUUGGGCACACGGGGAAACUGGAGUUCAGGGACACGCCCUUCAGCGGCCCUGGGUCCCAUGACAGCGAUUUGCCAGGGAAAGCGGAACUGACUCUGAGGAGUCUAGGUCCUGUGGGAGCACAGGAAUGGAGGCCCGGAGAGCCAAGAGGAUUGGGGAAGCUUAGCUCCGCAGGGCAAGGGUGAUUCCUUGGAAGGAACCUCCAAAGGAAGUCUGGCGGGGAAUCCGUGCAAUGAACUCGUGGCCAUUGGCUCCAAUGGCCUGACUGUCAGCCCCACGGGGGCGAGUUUGAAGAGCCCAAGGCACCAGGCGGCCUGUGGGAUACAAAAACCCAUUUCUCAAUGGUAUUCGGCGCUUCUGGUGGUUUGGUUGGUUCCUUUGGGGGUCACUGGACCGGUGAGCGACCCCCGCCCACUCCCGCCCCCCACCUCAAGGCCCCUUUGGGCUUCUAUUGAGAGGCAGGGUCUCAGUGAGCGGAUGAGAGCCUGGCUUUGCCAGAGGCUGGCCUUGAUCUCGCCAUGCUCCUGCUUCAGCCUGCUGAGCUGAUGGGAUCAUAGGCGGGAGCUGCUGGAUCUUUCCCUUGACAACUCAGUAGUU
rnacentral:lncRNA from 1 species